GCUUAGGGCUAAGGGGGCUAGCGGAUGGAAGUGCUAGUCUAAGGUCGUAGGAGGUUAUACAGGCAAAUCCGUAUAACAAUACUCCGAGAACUGAAAGGCUUUUUGAAGUCUUCGGAUGGAUAGAAGAACCCCUGAUGCCGUCGAGCCAAGAAAAGUUUCUAAGUUUAGCUAAUGUUGCCCGUACCGUAAACCGACACAGGUGGGUGGGAUGAGUAUUCUAAGGCGCGUGGAAGAACUCUCUUUAAGGAACUCUGCAAAAUAGCACCGUAUCUUCGGUAUAAGGUGUGGUUAGCUUCGUACUAGGAUUUACUCCGAAAGCGAAGAAACUUACAACAAAGAGUCCCUCCCGACUGUUUACCAAAAACACAGCACUCUGCUAACUCGUAAGAGGAUGUAUAGGGUGUGACGCCUGCCCGGUGCUCGAAGGUUAAUUGAUGGGGUUAGCAUUAGCGAAGCUCUUGAUCGAAGCCCGAGUAAACGGCGGCCGUAACUAUAACGGUCCUAAGGUAGCGAAAUUCCUUGUCGGUUAAAUACCGACCUGCAUGAAUGGCGUAACGAGAUGGGAGCUGUCUCAAAGAGGGAUCCAGUGAAAUUGUAGUGGAGGUGAAAAUUCCUCCUACCCGCGGCAAGACGGAAAGACCCCGUGGACCUUUACUACAGCUUGACACUGCUACUUGGAUAAGAAUGUGCAGGAUAGGUGGGAGGCUUUGAGUAUAUGACGCCAGUUGUAUAUGAGCCAUUGUUGAGAUACCACUCUUUCUUAUUUGGGUAGCUAACCAGCUUGAGUUAUCCUCAAGUGGGACAAUGUCUGGUGGGUAGUUUGACUGGGGCGGUCGCCUCCCAAAUAAUAACGGAGGCUUACAAAGGUUGGCUCAGAACGGUUGGAAAUCGUUCGUAGAGUAUAAAGGUAUAAGCCAGCUUAACUGCAAGACAUACAAGUCAAGCAGAGACGAAAGUCGGUCUUAGUGAUCCGGUGGUUCUGUGUGGAAGGGCCAUCGCUCAAAGGAUAAAAGGUACCCCGGGGAUAACAGGCUGAUCUCCCCCAAGAGCUCACAUCGACGGGGAGGUUUGGCACCUCGAUGUCGGCUCAUCGCAUCCUGGGGCUGGAGCAGGUCCCAAGGGUAUGGCUGUUCGCCAUUUAAAGCGGUACGCGAGCUGGGUUCAGAACGUCGUGAGACAGUUCGGUCCCUAUCUGCCGUGGGCGUAAGAAGAUUGAAGAGAUUUGACCCUAGUACGAGAGGACCGGGUUGAACAAACCACUGGUGUAGCUGUUGUUCUGCCAAGAGCAUCGCAGCGUAGCUAAGUUUGGAAAGGAUAAACGCUGAAAGCAUCUAAGCGUGAAGCCAACUCUAAGAUGAAUCUUCUCUAAGCUCUCUAGAAGACUACUAGUUUGAUAGGCUGGGUGUGUAAUGGAUGAAAGUCCUUUAGCUGACCAGUACUAAUAGAGCGUUUGGCUUAUCUUUAAUAAAGCAU
rnacentral:rRNA from 1 species